CAGCCGCCGCGGGAACACGUAGGUGGCAAGCGUUGUCCGGAAUUAUUGGGCGUAAAGGGCUCGCAGGCGGUUUCUUAAGUCUGAUGUGAAAGCCCCCGGCUCAACCGGGGAGGGUCAUUGGAAACUGGGAAACUUGAGUGCAGAAGAGGAGAGUGGAAUUCCACGUGUAGCGGUGUAAUGCGUAGAGAUGUGGAGGAACACCAGUGGCGAAGGCGACUCUCUGGUCUGUAACUGACGCUGAGGAGCGAAAGCGUGGGGAGCGAACAGGAUUAGAUACCCCAGUAGUCCCUGUCUCUUAUAC
rnacentral:rRNA from 1 species